UAAUCUUGAUAUUAUGAUGAAGUAACUAUACUUUCUCACUUACAUUAAAUUGUGGUUGUUCCUUUCAAUGAGUAUCCAAGUUGGUCUUUUGUCAUUCUUGAGCUUCUUUUAAUUGCACCUUUAUUAUUACAUAUAGCUUUGACAAACUAUUUGCCAAACUUUUUACUGUAGGAUUAUCAACUUUUGAAAACUCAAAAAUAUCAAGUUAUAGAUAAUAAACAUGAUUGACAAAGAAAGGUGUUUGUUACGUAGAAAAAU
rnacentral:lncRNA from 1 species